ensembl:lncRNA
GAGACCUCAUUGCAGCCCUUCAGUACUUGAAGGGAGCAUAUAAACAGGAAGGGGAACGGCUGUUUAUGAGGGUGGAUAGUGAUAGUACAAGGGGGAAUGGUUUUAAAUUGAGACAGGAGAGGUUUAUGUUAGAUAUUAUGAGGAAGUUUUUCACCCAGAGGGUGGUGACGCACUGAACAGGUUGCCCAAGGAGGCUGUGGAUGCCCCAUCCCUGGAGGCAUUCAAGGCCAGGCUGGAUGUGGCUCUGGGCAGCCUGGUCUGGUGUUGGUGACCCUGCAAAUAGCAGGGGGGUUGAAACUAGAUGAUCAUUGUGGUCCUUUUCAAUCCAGACCAUUCUUGAUUCUAUGA